AUGGCGAAUGAAAGAGAUGUGCUUAGUGUCAAAAUCAGGUUUUCCUGAAUUGUAGGCUGUAGGGGUGAUGCCAACUUGGGUGCAGGUGAAAGUCUCUUGGAAAGGAGCACCAGUGAGGGUCAGGGUCCCGCCUGUCAUCUGUCAUCCCUUGUGGACGGUUUGCCCAUUGAGAGUCGUGUUCUUCUGGAAUAGAGCGCCAAUCGGGUGGUACUCUUUGCCUAAGGAGCAUUACAUGCUUGAGACCAAUAGCGAACAAGUACCAUGAGGGAAGGGUGAAAAGGACUUUGGAAAGAGGGUUAAGAGGGCAUGAAGCUGCUGGAAGGGAAGUGGAUUGGACUUUUACACCACGGUAAGAUUGCAGUUUGCAGUCUCCACUUGUGGGGAACUGUGUGCUGUGUCUCUUGCCGUAUGGUUGAGCUCUGUGUAGUGCUCAGAAUCUUAGCGUGGACUUGUGAUUGGUUGCGAUCUUGAUCAUGUCCUUGCCUACUCUUAGCGCAACAUCUAUCUUGACCAAAUGGUUCAAUUUUACCCGUCUUGAAACACGGACCAAGGAGUCUAAUGCGUGUGCAAGUGCAAGGGAUUGACACCUGACAGCUCAACAAAGGUGACUGCUGGGAUUCUUGCACCAGCAACCAACUGAUCGCUUAGGAGAUGUUUGUGUAUGAGCACACUUGCUAGGACCCGAAAGGUGGUGAACUAUGCCUGAGAAGGGUGACGUCACGGGAAACUCUGAUGGAAGCUCGUAGCGCUACUGACGUGCAAAUCGUUCGUCUGACUUGGGUAUAGGGGCGAAGACUAAUCGAACCAUCUAGUAGCUGGGUCCCCUCCGAAGUUUCCCUCACNUAGCUGAGCAGACAGUUUUAUUCAGUAAAGCGAUGAUUCGAGCAUGGGGGUAUGUACCCUGACCCACUCUCAACUUUUAAUGG
rnacentral:rRNA from 1 species